AACCACCGCAAUCUUCAGUUCUUCCCCGGAUCGGCGACGAUGCCGCGAGAUGGAGAGGGCCGGGAGAUUCGGGCAGCCUCGUGUUUGGCGCGGCAUCUGUGAGUUCCCAAGGCCAGCGUCGGCGUCGCAUAGUCAACACGUCGGUGUCAGUGUGAAUCCAAGGGAGUGAGUCAACCCGCUACCGCUACGUUGGGGUUGGCGGCAGUUAGCCGCGACGGUCGAGCGAUCUGGGCCCCGCGCCGCCGCGCUGAGAUUACUCCGGUGUGCUCGGGCCUGAGGAUGAGCUUCUGUUCGCCGCGCAGCCGCGGGUGGUGUGGCUCAAGAGCCGACGCGUCCAGCUCAAGGCCUUAUUAAGCCGUCAGCCGUGAAACAGCACACCUCUCCUUAUUUUGGCCUUUUGCUAUGCCAAUGCCGACAGAAGAGGUCCUACAGAUCAGACAUGCUACGGCCUACGGCGACAUAUGCUGCUGAGUGCUGAUGCUAUGCAGCUACAUAUGCCUACUGUAUAUAGAGAAAAUCAGAACGUCUGGAUUGGUACUUGUCACGACCACGAAAGAGCAGGAUCCUAACCGUCUACGAUCGGUGAUGACAGUGUCAUUUUCUGCUCCCUCUCUCAAAACCGUCCAUGCAUGUCGUCCGCCAUGUACCCGGCCUGUGCUCGACAAGACAAUCAUGUACUAGUAGGCCUUGUUUAGUUCCGAAAAGAUUUCGAAUUUCGGUACUGUAGCACUUUCGUUUGUUUGUGACAAAUAUUAUCCAAUUAUGGACUAACUAGAAUCAAAAGAUUCGUCUCGCGAUUUCCAACUAAACUGUGUAAUUAGUUUUUGCUUUCGUCUAUAUUUAAUGCUUCAUGCAUGUGCCGCAAGAUUCGAUGUGACGGGAAAUCU